UACGUAGGGUGCGAGCGUUGUCCGGAAUUAUUGGGCGUAAAGGGCUCGUAGGCGGUCUGUCACGUCGGGAGUGAAAACUCAGGGCUUAACCCUGAGCCUGCUUCCGAUACGGGCAGACUAGAGGUAUGCAGGGGGAGAAUGGAAUUCCUGGUGUAGCGGUGAAAUGCGCAGAUAUCAGGAGGAACACCAGUGGCGAAGGCGGUUCUCUGGGCAUUACCUGACGCUGAGGAGCGAAAGUGUGGGGGAGCGAACAGG
rnacentral:rRNA from 1 species